rnacentral:rRNA from 1 species
GACGAAGGAUGCAAGCGUUAUCCGGAUUCAUUGGGUUUAAAGGGAGCGUAGGUGGGUUUGUAAGUCAGUGGUGAAAGCCGGUCGCUUAACGAUCGAAUUGCCAUUGAUACUGCAGACCUUGAGUACAGAUGCUGUGGGCGGAGUAUGACAUGUAGUGGUGAAAUACAUAGAGAUGUCAUAGAACACCGAUUGCGAAGGCAGCUCACAAAACUGUAACUGACACUGAGGCUCGAAAGUGCGGGGAUCAAACAGG